AGAUGGCAUCAUGAGUCCGCAUGUUCACAUGAUUAAAGGUAUUCCGGUAGACGAUGGGGAUGCGUUCCAUUAGAUAGUAGGCGGGGUAACGGCCCACCUAGUCUUCGAUGGAUAGGGGUUCUGAGAGGAAGGUCCCCCACAUUGGAACUGAGACACGGUCCAAACUCCUACGGGAGGCAGCAGUGAGGAAUAUUGGUCAAUGGGCGAGAGCCUGAACCAGCCAAGUAGCGUGAAGGAUGACUGCCCUAUGGGUUGUAAACUUCUUUUAUAAAGGAAUAAAGUCGGGUAUGGAUACCCGUUUGCAUGUACUUUAUGAAUAAGGAUCGGCUAACUCCGUGCCAGCAGCCGCGGUAAUACGGAGGAUCCGAGCGUUAUCCGGAUUUAUUGGGUUUAAAGGGAGCGUAGAUGGAUGUUUAAGUCAGUUGUGAAAGUUUGCGGCUCAACCGUAAAAUUGCAGUUGAUACUGGAUAUCUUGAGUGCAGUUGAGGCAGGCGGAAUUCGUGGUGUAGCGGUGAAAUGCUUAGAUAUCACGAAGAACUCCGAUUGCGAAGGCAGCCUGCUAAGCUGCAACUGACAUUGAGGCUCGAAAGUGUGGGUAUCAAACAGGAUUAGAUACCCUGGUAGUCCACACGGUAAACGAUGAAUACUCGCUGUUUGCGAUAUACAGCAAGCGGCCAAGCGAAAGCGUUAAGUAUUCCACCUGGGGAGUAC
rnacentral:rRNA from 1 species